UACGUAGGUGGCGAGCGUUAUCCGGAAUGAUUGGGCGUAAAGGGUGCGCAGGCGGUCCUGCAAGUCUGGAGUGAAACGUAUGAGCUCAACUCAUGCAUGGCUCUGGAAACUGGAGGACUGGAGAGCAGGAGAGGGCGGUGGAACUCCAUGUGUAGCGGUAAAAUGCGUAGAUAUAUGGAAGAACACCGAUAGCGAAGGCAGCUUACCAGACUGAGUCUGACGCUGAUGCACGAGAGCAUGGGUAGCGAACAGG
rnacentral:rRNA from 1 species